GUGCAAAGAAAUAAGAUUGUGAAUAGGAUAGUAUAAAGACCAUAACUCAGAACAUCAGGAGACCCGAACACAAAGGGAAACUUUCGAAAAUAUCGGCGAAAAGUUUGGAAAGUAUCGUGACUGUUCGUGGAUUGUUCGCAGCUGUUCCUAAGUGGACUCGGAAGCUUCGGAGUUCAUGGCACACAGAAACAAGUUGGAUCUGCGGAAAGGCACGAAGGGAAGGCCAGAAGAGCAAGUUCGUGGUUGGCUGGAGCGGGGUGGCAUGAGGAGGUAGAUGAGAACGAAGCACGGAGGGAGAAGCCACGUACGAAAGAGAGAGGGAGAAUAGGUCGAUACGGUAAACUAUUGUCUGGUGGGUGAAGUGUUCACGAGAACUGGGCGGAAGACAGCUUUGCGCUGGUUACGUGCAUUCUCUGCUUCGCAUGAAACGCGAAGAUAUGACAUGCUCGUCACCGCAACGAUGUUCAAGCGCGUCCAAGAAACCCCGCACCUCCAUCUACGCCCGCGUAACCUUUUGCGCCUGGUCCCUCGAUCGAUACUGGUGCACGAAUCGAAUCGUUCUACGCGUUAUUACCGACCGAGAAUACGCUGCAAUAUUGUCCGUGAUUUAAUUCGUUUUGUCUUCUAUUUUCUCUAAAGGGCUAUUUCUCAUGAUUUAAUUAUCCCAUUUUAUUGAUCGUUAAAUCUUAGUAACGACCUAUGUACGUAUUUUUGUAAAAAUCGGUGCUGCUUUGCAAGAAUACAAGUGGAAUAAAAGUUGGUUUUUAAAAUGGAAACGUGAUAUUUCUACGCAGUACUAUUGCGGAUAUGUUCUGAAUGAAGAUUUGAUAUUUACCUGAAGAGUGGUUAACAGCGAAAAACAGUUUCAUUUCUUCUAAUAAAUUAAAUCGACGCACUUAAAAUUAGUAUCGUUUAUCCUACACUUUUAAUUUCUUGAAAGAAUUUUUUCUGUUUUUUCCAAAGUCCAGAAUCUUUUAAAUAAUAUAUCAAAUCAGAAUACUAGCUACGUAUAUAGAUAUUUUGUUGUGUUUAAUAAUCAAAGAAAUUUCCUUAUUUGUUCCCUAAUAAGGAAGCAAUUAGAUUGCCCCUACUUAAUUUAUGAAGGUUCGAUAGCGUGCAACGACGCCCUCUACAAUCGAAUCGUUUGGCGGGAGUAUCGAAGAAAUUGCGAUAAUCGCAGUACAAAAUUCGUUAUGAAACUAAUUUGUGCAAGUAUACUACGUACACAAAGGCAGUUUGGCGUGCAGCAGUGCGCAACAAUCCUACAUCGAAGUGUGUUUGCCGAUUGUCAUCGGGGGAUGGAGAGGUACAUUGGCAGCAACGCUGAUGUGGGUUUCGAUCGUGAAACCACUGACUAAAUAUGGAAUAAAUCUGAUAUUGUAUGGGUUUUCGUAUUUCACGUUCUGAAAUAUCGAUCUCGAAAGAGACCGGACUAUUUCUUACGAUCUGUGCGACUCAUAUUUAUAUGUGAAACAUAUUUAACUCAAUCAUUGAGAACAAUAAAAGUGGACUUGGCACCUUACGGAACAUCGCGUUCAGAACAUGUUCUGUAAUACCGACCAUUCAGAGGUUUUAUUACGCCCUCUACAAUUUAUAACGUUGGGUACAGUGUAAUUAGUCUGUUUGAACGCGCUCCACAUAUUCAAACAAAAUUUUAGUUAGUGGGCGAUUAAAUAAACUUCUUCUAAUUGGAUUGAUUUAUCUGAACUUGAAUUACUACUAUGAACGAGAAAUCAUAAAUAAUAAGGAGAACCAGUAAGCUCGUAUUAUAUGGACUUCGGUUAUAUGAACUACUUGUCCUGCAGCAGGUUCAAAUAAACGGGAUGUCGGAAUACUUUAUACUCAAUACAAACACGAAAAUGAGUAAAAUUAGAGAUAUUAGCAAUACACUGUGGUUAUCGGUGGACAAAAUAAACGUAACAUGAAAUACUUUCUUGUAUUUCACGAUGUAAAAGUUUGUAUAUAGUUAUGAAAUCAUACAUUAUUGUUGUAGAGAAAAUAAAGAAUUCUACGCAUCUAUAAUACGCAUUUAUAAUACGCGUUUGCACAGAUUGAAUUAACGGUAGAUUAAAAUAGUGUACUUGAUAAAAUUUUGUACUUGAUAGAAGAUGCUUCGAUGCUGUGUACUUUGUUUGUAAUAAGACCAUGUGAAACUAACCUUUAUGCCGACCACCGAUAAUUAACAUUCGAAUUAAAUGCGGAAGUUAAUCAAUAAAUUCAUGCUUUACGAAGAAAAAAUUUGUUACGACUGAAUCUUCUACUGAAUGUGAUAUGUAAAUCUUCGUUCUAAUCUCUUAUGUAAAUUUGAAUCUAUUAAUGAAACGAUCUGAUGAUUUUUGAAAACGUACAUGCAUAAUUAAACGGAUGGUAUUAUAAUUAUACUCUUUUCCGUGGAAUUUGUGUAUAUAAUAUUGAAAUAGUAAAAUAUGAGAUAGUAAGGUUA